rnacentral:rRNA from 1 species
UACGUAGGGUGCAAGCGUUGUCCGGAAUUAUUGGGCGUAAAGAGCUCGUAGGCGGUUUGUUGCGUCGGCUGUGAAAUCCCGAGGCUCAACCUCGGGUCUGCAGUCGAUACGAGCAAACUAGAGUGUUGCAGGGAGAAUGGAAUUCCUGGUGUAGCGGUGAAAUGCGCAGAUAUCGAGAGGAACACCUGCGGCGAAGGCGGUGCUGGCUGACACUGACGCUGAUGCGCGAAGCUAGGGAGCGAACGG